rnacentral:rRNA from 1 species
AGAGUUUGAUCAUGGCUCAGAAUAAACGCUGGCGGCGUGCCUAACACAUGCAAGUCGAGCGAGAAAACUCCUUCGGGAGUAAGUAAAGCGGCGAACGGGUGAGCAACGCGUGAGAAUCUACCCUUUAGUGAAGAAUACCCUCGAGAAAUCGAGGCUAAUACUGCAUACGUCCCUUCGGGGAGAAAGAUGGCCUCUUUGCU